rnacentral:tRNA from 2 species
GCCUCCUUAGCUCAGUUGGCCAGAGCAGCGCACUUGUAAUGCGCGGGUCGUUGGUUCGAAUCCGACAGGAGGCUCAA